UCACAGUCUCACUCAUUAGAAGCUAAGAAGAUUGUUUCACAACCCUCAAGCUUUGAAGUCUCUCAGGAGAAGAUCUUACAUUGUGUUGAAUCAAAACAAGACUUCAGUGAACUGCUUUCUCACUUGGCUUUUUAACAAGUCAAGUAAUUGCAGUAAAACCAGGUUUUUUUCAUUACCUUCACAACCCUCAAGCUUUGAAGUCUCUCAGGAGAAGCUCUUACAUUGUGUUGAAUCAAAACAAGACUUCAGUGAACUGCUUUUUCACUUGGGU